CCCGCUGAACUUAAGCAUAUCAAUAAGCGGAGGAAAAGAAACUAACAAGGAUUCCCCUAGUAACUGCGAGUGCAGCGGGAAAAGCUCAAAUUUAAAAUCUGGGGGUCCCUGUGGCCCUCCGAGUUGUAAUCUAGAGAAGUGCUAUCCGCGCUGGACCGUGUACAAGUCUCCUGGAACGGAGCGUCAUAGAGGGUGAGAAUCCCGUCUUUGACACGGACUACCAGGGCUUAUGUGAUGUGCUCUCAAAGAGUCGAGUUGUUUGGGAAUGCAGCUCUAAAUGGGUGGUAAAUUCCAUCUAAAGCUAAAUAUUGGCGAGAGACCGAUAGCGAACAAGUACCGUGAGGGAAAGAUGAAAAGAACUUUGGAAAGAGAGUUAAACAGUACGUGAAAUUGUUGAAAGGGAAACGCUUGAAGUCAGUCGCGUUGCCCAGAAAUCAACCUUGCUUUUGCUUGGUGUACUUUCUGGUUAACGGGUCAGCAUCAAUUUUGACCGGUGGAUAAAGGUCAGGGGAAUGUGGCAUCUUCGGAUGUGUUAUAGCCCUUGGUUGCAUACAGCGGUUGGGAUUGAGGAACUCAGCAUGCCGCAAGGCCGGGUUUUUAACCACGUACAUGCUUAGGAUGCUGGCAUAAUGGCUUUAAUCGACCCGUCUUGAAACACGG
rnacentral:rRNA from 1 species